AAAGGGAGACCUAAUUCAGGUAUAAGACGAAAAAAAAGUAGUCCCUACCAAGAAUCAAUCCCAAAAGGUCGGAACGAGGUAUGAGGCUUUCAAACUAGGUUCUGGGUUCAUAAAAGACCUGAAUCAGGAACAAGGGCUAUUAGCUCAGGUGGUUAGAGCGCACCCCUGAUAAGGGUGAGGUCCCUGGUUCGAGUCCAGGAUGGCCCACCUGCACAGGUGGUAAAAACAAGAGAAGCGAGGAAUCAGCACCUUAUCUUACUUACAUAGUAAGAGAGAAUGCUGGCUCUGAGUAAAGAGUCCAGAGGAACCUUGAAAACUGCAUAGAGCUAGGUGAAAAAGCCAAAAAAGAAGACCGUCAG
rnacentral:tRNA from 1 species